rnacentral:rRNA from 1 species
GAUGAACGCUGGCGGCGUGCCUAAUACAUGCAAGUCGAGCGAACGGACGAGAAGCUUGCUUCUCUGAUGUUAGCGGCGGACGGGUGAGUAACACGUGGAUAACCUACCUAUAAGACUGGGAUAACUUCGGGAAACCGGAGCUAAUACCGGAUAAUAUUUUGAACCGCAUGGUUCAAAAGUGAAAGACGGUCUUGCUGUCACUUAUAGAUGGAUCCGCGCUGCAUUAGCUAGUUGGUAAGGUAACGGCUUACCAAGGCAACGAUGCAUAGCCGACCUGAGAGGGUGAUCGGCCACACUGGAACUGAGACACGGUCCAGACUCCUACGGGAGGCAGCAGUAGGGAAUCUUCCGCAAUGGGCGAAAGCCUGACGGAGCAACGCCGCGUGAGUGAUGAAGGUCUUCGGAUCGUAAAACUCUGUUAUUAGGGAAGAACAUAUGUGUAAGUAACUGUGCACAUCUCGACGGUACCUAAUCGGAAAGCCACGGCUAACUACGUG